CAUUAUAAAAGGACCUUGUAUAAAUCAUCCCAUUACAGGUGAGGUAAUCAAACUAAAGUCAUACGCCACAUGUAAAACCAGCCACGUAAUUUAUGCUCUGAAAUGUCCCUGCGGGAAAAUGUACGUAGGGAAGACAAUAAGGUCUGUCAGUACUAGGAUAAAAGAGCAUAAAGGCAAUAUACGCAAUUUUAAAAAUGACACCUAUACUGACACUCCUGUAGCCAGACAUUUUGAUACUGUAAAACAUAAUGUAUGUCAGCUAAAGUGGAUAGUGUUAGAGACAGUAGCAAAACCCAGUAGAGGAGGUGAUCAUAACUUGAUACUAUUGCAGAGGGAGGCCAGAUGGAUGAAGCGCUUGGAUAGUGCUUAUCCGAAAGGGUUAAAUGAGCAGUGCAAUUUAUCAUGUUUUCUUUAAUAGUAAUGGCUUGUCGUCCUUUGUUCCCAGGAAUUAUAACUAGAUUCCAAGUUGUAAUGACAUGGAACUCCUGCUGCAUUUACAUAUGGGUCUUUUACAGGUUAGGCGGAUUGAGCAGUAACCUGGUUUUAACAUUAUGUUUCAGUGGGAUUUCAACAUGUAUUAUAUGAAAUAAUGUGUGUCACUUUUAAUAGCUAGAUGAAUUGGGUCACAAUAAGUUUUUACAAUAUUUA